rnacentral:lncRNA from 1 species
UUAAGUAGCUGGCCCCCAAUUUGGAUGGUGAUUGUCUACACCCUUCCCAACAGGAGGAAGCCGAAAGUCACAUCUCUGCUGGAUGUCCUAGAGCCAUGGCAGCUUUCUGGUAUGUAGGUCCACAGUCCCUAGGUGAUGUCCAGGACUCCUCCAGUCAUGUCUCAUUGUGUUCCAGUUGCACACCUCCUCCCCAUCCUUCCACCUGAGGGCUAAAGCACACUUUUAGCCCCCUUCAACACAGCUUAUGGUCACCAGGGGGGAAAGCAGACCAACCUCCCACCUAUCCCCUUCCCUGACUCACUCUCCUCUUCCUCCCACCUCUCCCCCUCCCACUGGCAGUUGAUUUCCCAUUGGAUAUUCUUCUGUUCUAUUUCACAUUUAUGAAUUCACUGAGAGCUUUACAGCCAGAUUCCCUUACCACAUUUUUCAUGGUGGUGGGUUGGAGGAGAGAAUGGUCUAGAUGAGUAUACCCUCUGAGUGUUAUGAAUUUCGGACUCACCUUGGCAGUGGUAUGAGUUCAGAUCUGUCUGUGGUUUCAUCUACUGAUGAGUGGGGAGGAUUCUCCUGUCAUGAGACUGUGCAGUUAUAGGAGUCCUUGCCAGCAGCUGGUGCUGCUGGCUUCCUUUG